rnacentral:rRNA from 1 species
GAUGAACGCUGGCGGCGUGCCUAAUACAUGCAAGUCGAGCGAACGGACGAGAAGCUUGCUUCUCUGAUGUUAGCGGCGGACGGGUGAGUAGCACGUGGAUAACCUACCUAUAAGACUGGGAUAACUUCGGGAAACCGGAGCUAAUACCGGAUAAUAUUUUGAACCGCAUGGUUCAAAAGUGAAAGACGGUCUUGCUGUCACUUAUAGAUGGAUCCGCGCUGCAUUAGCUAGUUGGUAAGGUAACGGCUUACCAAGGCAACGAUGCAUAGCCGAUCUGAGAGGGUGAUCGGCCACACUGGAACUGAGACACGGUCCAGACUCCUACGGGAGGCAGCAGUAGGGAAUCUUCCGCAAUGGGCGAAAGCCUGACGGAGCAACGCUGCGUGAGUGAUGAAGGUCUUCGGAUCGUAAAACUCUGUUAUUAGGGAAGAACAUAUGUGUAAGUAACUGUGCACAUCUUGACGGUACCUAAUCAGAAAGCCACGGCUAACUACGUG